GGGAGCGCUGCGGCGCCGCCCGCGGCCCCGGGCUCAGGGCACCCGGGACGCCGCCCGGUCCCCCGGGGCUGGGCGGCCGGCCCCACUUGGUGCGCGGAAGACAUCGGGAGUCGUGAUUUUUCAGUCUUUGAAAGAGAUGAUUCUUUUCUUACCCUGUCGGGCUAGGGGGCCCUUCGAGUACCGGGCGCCCCCUAAGUGGGUGAUGUUGAUGAAAAUGGAGAUUGGGGGGAGCAGCCCUUAUGAGUUGAAUGCGGCACUUCUCCCUAAUCCCCCCUUCCCCAUCCCUCUUAAAAAAUAUCGCUUUGUAUAUGGGCGAGAGAAGUAGAGGACGGUUAAUUUUUACUUCAUUCUGUUGCUGAUCAUGGCAGGAUCAGUUUAAUUUUCAGACCCAGCCAGGGAUCCUAAGAGAGUCAAGGAAAAUGUUUCCUCCCCUUCGUGACAAACUCCCAGUGGUGAGAGAAAUAACACAGCAAUGCUCUUAAAGCCCUCACUAGUUAACAGGUGCCUGCUUUUGGGGGUAAAUGCUUUCAUCUUGCUAAUCUGUAAGUACUGUAACAGCAAAGUUGCUUCUAGUUGCUCAUAGCAGUAAAAGUUUUUCUUUGUGGAUUAUAUAUAAAAGCAAGUAAAAUUUGUGUUAGUUCCUUAAGGUCAUUACUGGUGAUUCUGGGUUGGGAUGGGCAGUCCUCUAUAGCUGUGUAUGCACUUGGCUCAUCAUACGUAAUAAGCAAGUGCUACUAUAGCAAGGAGCAUGAUUAGAUAAAAGCAGAUGUUGCUUGCUUGUUCCAUGAAUUCUUCCCCUUCUGCUUGUUAUUAUGAACUUUGUUGUUGUUGUUGUUGUUGUUGUUAUGAACUUUAAGAGAAUUUCAUCCACGGAAUGAUUUAAUCACCGUUCUAAUUUGUCUUGAGACUUUACCUUACUCUACAAAGAAGCUGAAGGGUGAAUGCAUAUGAUUUGUGUAGGAUUUGAGAUGGCUUUUGACGUCUUCCGGGUUUUUGUAAACUGGUUUCAAAAAGUAGGGGCGUGGGGGUGCCUGUCAGGCUCAGUCCGGGGAGUGUGUGACUCUUGAUCUCGGGGUGGUGAGUUCAAGUCCCACAUUGGGGGUAGAGAUUACUUAAAUAAAUAAAUGAACUUUUAAAAAGGAGAGAGGGGAAUAUUUACUACAAGAUUCCUUUCAUAAAUUUGAGGGGUUGGGGCUGACCUCCUGUUCAGGGACACUGCAUAUACUUUCUGCUUUGCUGUCAUGCAUAGGGUUCCCACUUUAUGAAGAGAUCAGGUUCUCAGUUGUGGGAUGGUUCCCACGCCUGCACAAAAGCCUACACAAAACCCGUUUUGUAGUUGUGUACAAAUCAGGACUUUGCCGUUUGGAACUGGGCAGCUUAUGCCAACAGCUCUGGUAGGUGCCACCUUGAGUUCUGGGUGUUGGAGGCUAAGGCCCGUGUGCGCUCCAGGACACAGCGGAGUGUAAGGAAUGCCACAGGCAAUUGGGAAAACCACCAGGAUUGCUCUUCGCACAACGUUGUGUUCAAUAGUUGCAUCACAGGGCUCUCUGGGCUUUUCCAGUCCUUCCCUUAGUAAGGAGACCUCCAGAUUCAAAUCCCAGCCCCAUCUGUUACCAAGAGAUAGCAUUUGGGAAGUUUCUCUUCCUUUCUGAGCUUGAUUUCCUUAAGUGAAAUGGCUUAAUAAUCCUUUAGCGACUGUUGUGAAGAUUUUAUGAGUUAAGUUAUGUAAAGUACAGGAAGCAUAAAGAGCCAUUCACAGAUAAUGGCCCAUCAUUGUUCUACCCUUGCAGAUGAUCUAGGGAAGGUGUUAGGAGGCAGCUGACUCUUAAUUAAUUCACACCAGUGCGUGAGCCACGGAAGUCUCCAGUUUACAGAAACCUUGUGUUUUUCAGAGGGUGCUGUUAAAGCAAAUGGAAAACUGCCUGAUAGUUAGGCAGCUUAAAAAAGCUAAGUCAUUUUCAGGGUUUUGGGAAGAUGGUAAUUUUUUUUAAAGGUGAUUUUUGAUCAGCAACUUUAAAAUUGUUUCUACAUACCUCCCUUUUUUCCUCCCUCCCGCCCUCCCUCUCCCCCUUCCCUUCCAGGACAGGUACUUUUUGAAAACUGCCAGGAAACCUGGUACUGUCUCUCACUCUCCUGCUUCUCUCCUCUGCCCUUCUUCCCUCCUUCUCUCCUGUACAAAUGAUUCUCUCUGACCAUGGCAAGUGGGACUUCUAAGGAGAAGACUGGGGUAGGAGGCAGAGAGGGGCUGCCUUUUCUCUUUAUAUGUAUAAAUGGUUAAUUAGUCCAUCAGGAGUUUGUAAUUUAGAAACAGGGAUUCUAAUAGUUAAACCAGAGAAUGAAGUCCUUAACCCACUUUCCCCAUUUCUUUGUUUUCCUUUCCUGUCAGAUGUAUGUUCUAGAGAGCUCAGAGGAUAGGGCAGUCAUUUUUAAAGGUGUUCUAAAAUUGCCACUGGCUUCUAGCUUUCUUCCAAUCUCCUUUCACACUUUUGCUGUUAGGUUAUUUACACGUCCUUUCAGGAGUGCUGUGAUCUAUUCUAGAGCUCCAUUAAGGUUCUUCUAACUCUCCUUUGGAGACCUGGACUAGAAACUGGCAUUUAGAUGAAUCAACUCUUUUACUUUCUGUGUGGGUCCUAGGAGCACAAAGCUGGGCAGGUAACUGUCUAAUCCAAGAGAUGAGGUCUGUGAAACACUCCCCCUCUCAGCUGCAUUAUUCUAAGGCUUGCUGGGCAAGUCCUUGCCAGAGGGAAGGUCAAGCACAACAUUAAGGACUCUAUCUCUGUUUACACUCUGAACAACAAAAAAGCAAACUCUGUUGAUCUCCUAGAUUACCUGCAUGUAACACUUCUUAAUAAGGCAAACUAUUUACAUUUCAGUACUACCAAUCUUUUAAAUCUAUGUUAACCUAGGAACCAAGGUAGUCUUUAAUAAAAAUAAGCAAGACUUAACAGACCUAUAUUUGGACUCUUUCAUUAAAGCAUAAAAGGAAGAAAUCA